rnacentral:rRNA from 1 species
UACAGAGGGUGCAAGCGUUGUUCGGAAUUAUUGGGCGUAAAGCGCGUGUAGGCGGCUUUGCAAGUCGGGUGUGAAAGCCCUCAGCUCAACUGAGGAAGUGCGCCCGAAACUGCAGAGCUUGAGUGCCGGAGAGGGUGGCGGAAUUCCCCAAGUAGAGGUGAAAUUCGUAGAUAUGGGGAGGAACACCGGUGGCGAAGGCGGCUCACUGGACCGGUACUGACGCUGAUGCGCGAAAGCGUGGGGAGCAAACAGG